ACAGACCUUGAAGAGUGCAGGGCAACAUCAGAAUUUGGUAAAGGGUCAAUGGAACUAACAGAACAAGCCAUGUCAGGUGGUGCUCUGAGCCAGUCCCAGGACAAGACCAGGCUGUUUGGCUCGCUGUGAAAACCCUGCUCGCUUUCAUUUCCAAUCUCCGCCAGCCUCUUGGAUGCUUCUCCUCAGCUGAGAGGCUGCCUCUCUGAGAAACUAGCACCUCCUCGGUGACACCAGGGCCUCCCACGUGCAGUGGGGUUGAAUGAUGCCUCCUCCAAAGUCAUUUCCACCUGGAAGCUCCGAACGUGCCUUUGCAGAUGCAGCUUCACUCUGCUCCUAGGACCAAAAGUCUGAGAGGCAGCCAGCAGCCACCACACACCACCUGGACAUCUCUUGGCUGGUCCUCAAAUUCCAGCCAUCUGCACACCCUUCAUGCAUCCAAAAGCACCCUUCAGUGAGUGUGGUAAUGGGACUUGGUGGUCUUCUCCCUGUCUCACCCACACUGGAACAGCUCUGCAAGCCUUGUGUCUUCAGGGUCGAAAUAGCUGCCACAGGAUAAUGGUACUUGUGCUAGAAGGUGUUGCUUCUUAGCAUAUGGCUGGUAAGCAGAAGACAAAGAAUUUUCGAGGACACAGUUAAGCUGCCCACAGACACUGUCUGCAUCUUUGCACAGUAAUCACAUUAGAAAGAUGCAAGAAGCACACAAUGAAAAUACAAUGAAUGUAGGCACA
rnacentral:lncRNA from 1 species